rnacentral:rRNA from 1 species
CCUACGGGAGGCAGCAGUGAGGAAUAUUGGACAAUGGACGAGAGUCUGAAGCAGCCAAGCAGCGUGAAGGAUGACUGCCUUCUGGGUUUUAAACUUUUUUUAUAAAGGAAUAAAACGCGGCACGUGUGCAUUUUUGCAUGUACUUUUUGAAUAAGGCUCGGCUAACUCCGUGCCAGCAGCCGCGGUAAUACGGAGGAUCCGAGCGUUAUCCGGAUUUAUUGGGUUUAACGGGAGCGUAGAUGGGUUGUUAAGUCAGUUGUGAAAGUUUGCGGCUCAACCGGAAAAUUGCAAUUGAAACUGGCAGUCUGGAGUGCAGGUGAGGUAGGCGGAAUUCGUGGUGUAGCGGUGAAAUGCUUAGAUAUCACGAAGAACCCCGAUGGCGAAGGCAGCUUACUAAACUGUAACUGACAUUGAUGCUCGAAAGUGUGGGUAUCAAACAGGAUUAGAUACCCUUGUAGUC